rnacentral:rRNA from 1 species
AUUGAACGCUGGCGGCAGGCCUCACACAUGCAAGUCGAGCGAGCGGCGGACGGGUGAGUAAUGUCUGGGAAACUGCCUGAUGGAUGGGGAUAACUACUUGAAACGGUAGCUACUACCGCAUACCAUCAGAUGUGCCCAGAUGGGAUUAGCUAGUAGGUGGGGUAACGGCUGACCUAGGCGACGCUCCCUAGCUGGUCUGAGAGGAUGACCAGCCACACUGGAACUGAGACACGGUCCAGACUCCUACGGGAGGCAGCAGUGGGGAAUAUUGCACAAUGGGCGCAAGCCUGAUGCAGCCAUGCCGCGUGUGUGAAGAAGGCCUUCGGGUUGUAAAGCACUUUCAGCGGGGAGGCGUUACCCGCAGAAGAAGCACCGGCUAACUCCGUGCCAGCAGCCGCGGUAAUAC